UACAGGGGGGGCAAGCGUUGUUCGGAAUUACUGGGCGUAAAGGGUUCGUAGGUGGCUUACUAAGUCAAACGUGAAAUCCCUCAGCUUAACUGGGGAACUGCGUCUGAUACUGGAAAGCUUGAGUGCAGGAGAGGAACGCGGAAUUCCAGGUGUAGCGGUGAAAUGCGUAGAUAUCUGGAGGAACACCGGUGGCGAAGGCGGGUCUCUGGGCCGACAUUGACGCUGAGGAGCGAAAGCGUGGGGAGCGAACAGG
rnacentral:rRNA from 1 species